rnacentral:rRNA from 1 species
UAAUAGCUCACUAGUCGAGAGGUCCUGCGCCGAAAAUGUCCGGGGCUGAAACACACUACCGAAGCUUGGGAAUUGACGAAUGUUAAUUGGUAGAGGAGCAUUCUUAACGGGGCGAAGCUGUACCGGAAGGAGCAGUGGACUGUUAAGAAGAGAGAAUGCCGGAAUGAGUAGCGAGAGGAAGGUGAGAAUCCUUCCGGCCGAAUAUCUAAGGUUUCCAGAGUAAAGCUGAUCUGCUCUGGGUAAGUCGGGGCCUAAGGCGAGGUCGAAAGACGUAGUCGAUGGAUAACAGGUUGAAAUUCCUGUACUAUCCUGUAACAGAACUGUGGGGACACAGGCAGAGAGCGUGAGCCGGGAAUGGAAAGACCGGUACAAGCGAGGUAGGAGUCUGGUUGGCAAAUCCGCCAGGCAAUCCGAAGACGUGAUGUGGACUGAAAAUAAGUAGGGAAGCACGUGAGCUGACUGUCAAGAAAAGCCGCUAUUGUUUGCAGGAUACCCGUACCGUAAACCGACACAGGUGGAUGAGGAGAGAAUCCUAAGGCCGACGGGAGAAGCAUUGUUAAGGAACUCGGCAAAAUGACUCCGUAACUUCGGGAGAAGGAGUGCCAUGUAAAAGUGGCCGCAGAGAAUUGGCCCAAGCAACUGUUUAGCAAAAACACAGGUCUAUGCAAAACCGAAAGGUGAGGUAUAUGGGCUGACGCCUGCCCGGUGCUGGAAGGUUAAGGGGAGAGGUUAGCGCAAGCGAAGCUUUGAACUUAAGCCCCAGUAAACGGCGGCCGUAACUAUAACGGUCCUAAGGUAGCGAAAUUCCUUGUCGGGUAAGUUCCGACCCGCACGAAAGGCGUAAUGAUUUGAGCGCUGUCUCGACAAUGCAUCCGGUGAAAUUGAAGUACCAGUGAAGAUGCUGGUUACCUGCGCCAGGACGGAAAGACCCCAUGGAGCUUUACUCCAGUUUGAUACUGGGAUUCGGCAUGGUAUGUACAGGAUAGGUGGGAGACUGAGAAGGUAUGACGUCAGUUGUACCGGAGUCGCUGUUGGGAUACCACCCUUACCAUGUUGGAUUUCUAACCUGUGGCCGUAAGCCGGUCAGGGGACAAUGUCAGGCGGGGAGUUUGACUGGGGCGGUCGCCUCCGAAAGGGUAUCGGAGGCGCUCAAAGGUUCCCUCAGAAUGGUCGGAAACCAUUCGAAGAGUGCAAAGGCAGAAGGGAGCUUGACUGCGACACCGACGGGUGGAGCAGGUACGAAAGUAGGACUUAGUGAUCCGGUGGUAUAAAGUGGGAUUGCCAUCGCUCAACGGAUAAAAGCUACCCUGGGGAUAACAGGCUUAUCACUCCCAAGAGUUCACAUCGACGGAGUGGUUUGGCACCUCGAUGUCGGCUCAUCGCAUCCUGGAGCUGUAGCAGGUUCCAAGGGUUGGGCUGUUCGCCCAUUAAAGCGGUACGCGAGCUGGGUUCAGAACGUCGUGAGACAGUUCGGUCCCUAUCCGGCGCGGGCGGAGGAUAUUUGAGAGGAGCUGUCCUUAGUACGAGAGGACCGGGAUGGACGGACCACUGGUGUAUCUGUUGUCGACCAACGGCAUGGCAGAGUAGCCAAGUCUGGAAGGGAUAAACGCUGAAGGCAUCUAAGCGUGAAGCCCCCCUAAAGAUAAGAUUUCCCAUACCGAAAGGUAGUAAGACCCCUUGAAGACGACGAGGUAGAUAGGGCAGAGGUGGAAGUACGGUAACGUAUGGAGCUGACUGUUACUAAUCGGUCGAGGCUUUAACCAA